rnacentral:lncRNA from 1 species
CUUUGUCUUAUGGGUCAGGUUUCAGCAGAGGCUCAACCUGGGUGCUGACUUUUGAACCUCUGAAGAUGCUGCCGUGCUUGUACUCGGCGUGACUCUCCUCUUCAAAGAAGAGUAGCAUUGUAAGCCAUGGGUAGGAUGUGUUUUUCUACUUGCUGUGGAGAAUCUGCUCACAAAGGAAGGGCCAAAAAUAUUUUGAGUGAUGUUCUCUUAGUUUACAUUGCUGAUUAAAGCUGGAGGCCCUGUUUCUCUGUGGAAAUAGUAUCCACAAUCCAUCACAACAGCCCGUCUGAGCCGGGGGCUAAAUCACCCCUUUGGCAGCCAUUUUGUUAAAGCUCAGCCUUACACUGAGGUGAGAAAACGAACUGGAGACCCUUUGAGGAAAUCUUUGUGUUCAAGCUCAAUAUCUUUAUUAUGUCUUGCUGCAGCUGACUGGGUCUCUGGUUUUAUUUGUCUGUUGAAGCAGCACCAUGGGUUAAGCUGCUCGCGGCUCCUGGGUAUCGCAGAUGAGGAGCCUGCUGGGGCACUGAGCUGCACUUUGGCAAUUCCCGACAAAAUCCAAACUUCCCAUCUCGUGGCCUUUAAAAUGAGGUGUUUCUUAAAUUCACAGCAAGCCCUGCACAGCUUUUAGCUACAGGCAGGUGUGUCAGUGACACGGAUGAGCCGCUGCUCUCCUAGGAGGUGAUUUUCACAUGCAUCUUGUUGUGCAGGCAGCAAGAGGAGAUGCAUCCUCAGGAAAUCAUGAACCUUGCAGGACGUGUUGUUUUCCAUCAGCAGUAAACAGCACUGCCUGUGUGCAGUGCAGGGAGGACAGAACUGAAACAAGACUAGAAGACAAGCUGCAGAAGAAAAGCUGCCUCUAAAGAUCCUUUCAAAAGUGCAGCACAGGAGGGAACAAGUGGACGCUGAUUUUGAUGAAACUUCCUGUAGUGUUUGGCAUUCCUUAAUAUGUCCUGAUGCCUUUGAUUUCUUCUCCUCCAUUGCAGCAUCAAAGAAUGUGGCACCAACACAAUGCUGUCCACAUCUGGAUGUGCCACAGAGGAGCUGAGCUGAGUGCCCAGCGAACUUUAUUGCUGCAGAGAACCUGGCAGAACUCAUCCCACCUUGCAGCUGACACUUUCCUGUGGCAGGGACAGGACAAGGGCCCAGAUCUUCAGACAGGAGGUCUGGUGGUUCUGAAUACUGCAAUGUUUUGAAAUCAAUUUGCCAGCUGUGGUGAGUCCUGCAAAUCU